rnacentral:rRNA from 1 species
GACGAACGCUGGCGGCGUGCUUAACACAUGCAAGUCGAACGGAAAGGCCCUGCUUUUGUGGGGUGCUCGAGUGGCGAACGGGUGAGUAACACGUGAGUAACCUGCCCUUGACUUUGGGAUAACUUCAGGAAACUGGGGCUAAUACCGGCUAGGAGCUCCUGCUGCAUGGUGGGGGUUGGAAAGUUUCGGCGGUUGGGGAUGGACUCGCGGCUUAUCAGCUUGUUGGUGGGGUAGUGGCUUACCAAGGCUUUGACGGGUAGCCGGCCUGAGAGGGUGACCGGCCACAUUGGGAAUGAGAUACGGCCCAGACUCCUACGGGAGGCAGCAGUGGGGAAUAUCGCACAAUGGGCGGAAGCCUGAUGCAGCAACGCCGCGUGCGGGAUGACGGCCUUCGGGUUGUAAACCGCUUUCGCCUGUGACGAAGCGUGAGUGACGGGAAUGGGUAAAGAAGCACCGGCUAACUACGU